GACGAACGCUGGCGGCGUGCUUAACACAUGCAAGUCGAACGGAAAGGCCCUGCUUUUGUGGGGUGCUCGAGUGGCGAACGGGUGAGUAACACGUGAGUAACCUGCCCUUGACUUUGGGAUAACUUCAGGAAACUGGGGCUAAUACCGGAUAGGAGCUCCUGCUGCAUGGUGGGGGUUGGAAAGUUUCGGCGGUUGGGGAUGGACUCGCGGCUUAUCAGCUUGUUGGUGGGGUAGUGGCUUACCAAGGCUUUGACGGGUAGCCGGCCUGAGAGGGUGACCGGCCACAUUGGGACUGAGAUACGGCCCAGACUCCUACGGGAGGCAGCAGUGGGGAAUAUUGCACAAUGGGCGGAAGCCUGAUGCAGCAACGCCGCGUGCGGGAUGACGGCCUUCGGGUUGUAAACCGCUUUCGCCUGUGACGAAGCGUGAGUGACGGUAAUGGGUAAAGAAGCACCGGCUAACUACGUGCCAGCAGCCGCGGUGAUACGUAGGGUGCGAGCGUUGUCCGGAUUUAUUGGGCGUAAAGGGCUCGUAGGUGGUUGAUCGCGUCGGAAGUGUAAUCUUGGGGCUUAACCCUGAGCGUGCUUUCGAUACGGGUUGACUUGAGGAAGGUAGGGGAGAAUGGAAUUCCUGGUGGAGCGGUGGAAUGCGCAGAUAUCAGGAGGAACACCAGUGGCGAAGGCGGUUCUCUGGGCCUUUCCUGACGCUGAGGAGCGAAAGCGUGGGGAGCGAACAGGCUUAGAUACCCUGGUAGUCCACGCUGUAAACGGUGGGUACUAGGUGUGGGGUCCAUUCCACGGGUUCCGUGCCGUAGCUAACGCUUUAAGUACCCCGCCUGGGGAGUACGGCCGCAAGGCUAAAACUCAAAGGAAUUGACGGGGCCCCGCACAAGCGGCGGAGCAUGCGGAUUAAUUCGAUGCAACGCGUAGAACCUUACCUGGGUUUGACAUGGAUCGGGAGUGCUCAGAGAUGGGUGUGCCUCUUUUGGGGUCGGUUCACAGGUGGUGCAUGGCUGUCGUCAGCUCGUGUCGUGAGAUGUUGGGUUAAGUCCCGCAACGAGCGCAACCCUUGUUCACUGUUGCCAGCACGUUAUGGUGGGGACUCAGUGGAGACCGCCGGGGUCAACUCGGAGGAAGGUGGGGGUGACGUCAAGUCAUCAUGCCCCUUAUGUCCAGGGCUUCACGCAUGCUACAAUGGCUGGUACAGAGAGUGGCGAGCCUGUGAGGGUGAGCGAAUCUCGGAAAGCCGGUCUCAGUUCGGAUUGGGGUCUGCAACUCGACCUCAUGAAGUCGGAGUCGCUAGUAAUCGCAGAUCAGCAACGCUGCGGUGAAUACGUUCCCGGG
rnacentral:rRNA from 1 species